GGAAGCGAGGCGGGGUCCUUUUUCGCCGCCCGCUCGCCCCAAGGUGCCUGCGGAGCUCGGCGCCGGCCUUGCGGAGGGCGGGGGCGGCGGGGCCUUCCCCGCGGCGCCGGGCACCAUGAUGGUGGGUAAGACCAGUGCCAUCGCCGCGGGCCUCUGCGGGGCCCUAUUCAUCGGCUACUGCAUCUACUUCGACCGCAAGAGGAGGAGCGACCCGAAUUUCAAGAACCGGCUGCGGGAGCGAAGGAAGAAACAGAAGCUUGCCAAAGAGAGAGCAGGGCUUUCCAAGCUGCCUGAUCUGAAAGAUGCUGAAGCUGUUCAGAAGUUUUUUCUUGAGGAGAUCCAGCUUGGGGAGGAACUACUAGCUCAAGGUGAAUAUGAGAAAGGUGUUGAUCACUUGACCAAUGCCAUUGCUGUGUGUGGACAGCCGCAGCAGCUACUACAAGUUCUACAGCAGACUCUUCCACCACCAGUGUUUCAAAUGCUUCUAACUAAGCUCCCUACAAUAAGCCAGAGAUGUGUGUGACACUGUGAAGAAUCUGUCAAGAGGGAGUCUGUGCCUCUGCAAGCUCACAGUCUGUGGUCCUGAUCCUGGAACUUACUCUGCACGGUCCCUUCCUUAUGGAAACCUAAGCUACCAAGAUCAGGACAUGGGGACGGUGAAACAGGAAGGGAGAAGGAGGACUCAGCGUUGCGGGCCCUGUCCAUCUCAUGAUGCACAGAGCUUCCUUCUCUGCCUCUCUGCAGGUAAGUGAUCUCUCCUCAACUUGGCUGAUAGAAGCCCAGGUGAGUUCUGGAAUAUUCCAAGCCGGAAAGGACUUUGAGUCCAAGUCCUGGCACCACACAGGACCACCUAAAAUCAAACUCUGUGUCUGAGAGUGUUGUCAGAACAGUUUGUGAACUCCAAAGGGUUGGGGCCAUGACCACUGCCCUGGGGAGCCUGUUCCAGUGCCUGACCACCCACUGGUGAAGAACGUCUUCUUAAUACUCUUGUUAAACUUCACAUGGUUGAUGAUUACUCAGCCCUUUAAUUUGCUGAGAUCUCUCUGCAAGACCUCUCUGCAAUCAGAGGAGUCUACAGCAGUACGUUCCAGAAUUCAAGAUGCAUUUGGACGAUGCUUUCAGAAAUAUGGUUUGAAUUCUGGGUAGUCCUAUGUAGAGCCAAGAGUUGGACUCCAUGAUCCUUAUGGGGUCCUUCCAACUCACGAUACUGUAUGAUUCUGUGAUUCUAUUCUAAUUUAGUAUCAUCUGCAAACCUAUUUAAUAUGGAUUCAAGUUCCGUGUCCAGACCAUUUAUAAAAGCACUGAAGAGAACUGACUAAAAUGGAGCCCCAUGGAACCCCAUUAAUGACUGGCCACCAGCUUGAUGUAACCCCAUUUGCUGUAACACUUUGAGCCCGACCCAUGAGCCCAACAUACACCCACUGCAUUAUGUCUAGCUGGAUGCUGGACAUUUUGUCAAGAAGGAUAUGGUGAAAAAGAGUGUUGAAAUCGUUGCUGAAAUCCAAACAGAUCACAUCAUCUGGCUUCCCUUGAUCAACAAGGUGGGUCACCUUGGCAUAAAAGGAAACUAAGUUCCUUUAACAGGACUUUCUCCUCAUGAACCUGUGUUGGCUAUGAUCAAUGACUGCAUUGCCUUUCAAGUGUUUUUCAGUAACUUCCAGAAUAAUCUUCUGCAUAAUUUUACCAGGCACUGAAGAGAGACUGACAGGCUUGUAAUUACCAGCAUCUUCUUUCAUACCCUUCUUGAAAACUGGGACAACGUUUGCCAGCUUCCAGUCAACUGGGAUUCAUGUGGCACGUGAAUCUCUGUUGCUUCUCCAAGGACACACCAAGAGCCUAUGGUAGAAAGAAGAACAAAAGCUCUCUCUCUGGUUCAGUGCUUCAAUUGCACAAAUGUAAUUUAUCAAGAUGGUAUUUAGAUAGCCUUAGAUAAAAGAUACAUCAAAGCAUACUUUUGGCUGCUGCUUUCAGAAGUAGUAGUAAAUCUCCCAGGGGAAUGCAAGUAGUCAGAUAUGAUCCAAGUUAUCAAAAUGCUCCAUCUCCUCACUGCCCCUCCUCCUCUCACUCUGGUUGGGUUCACAGGGAAGCCCUCUCUUGGGACUGGUGCAUCAUCUAUUACCAUCAGUAGAUUUUAGUUCAUAAAUGUGCGUUCAUUCUUUUCCAGCAAAACACUAUUUCAACACUAAUUCUGAAGAACUGUAAAUUGGCAAAGGAUCCAAAAAGAAUAAUGUACCAACCAUUAUGUUUAUUUUGGACACUGUAUCUAAGUGCUGAUAUUAGCAUUUCUGAGAGGAUUCUUUCAUCACUGCAUAAAGCUUUGUACCUGUGAGUAAGAUCUUGCUCAGAAGGUCCUGCGUGCCUCCUUUCCUCUAUCAACAAAGCUUACAAAUGCCAAGAGAUGGUUUUGCAAGGGAAGGUAGUGCACAUCCAUUAUUCAAGAUAAGAAAAUAGCUACUGAAAAAAUUCCAUGCCUAUUGCCUAUGGUGUAAUGAAAGCAGCACUACGUUUAAAGAAAAAGUCUCAUUUUUUUUUCAUGUGCCAUACUAGUUUGUUUAUUUAAAUAGCGACCUGAAUAUAUAUGUAUUCAAAGUGGCUCUCCUGUUUUCUUUUGGCUUUGUUUUUUAAGCUAAAAUCCUACAAUAGAACUUCAAGCACAGUGAUUAGUACUCAUUGUCAUGGAAAGACAAGCAGACCUGCACUAGCACUAACAAGGACUGCUGAAAAUAUUUUGCUCUUUCCAGACCAUGACCUCUUCUGCGGAUGUCAGCAGAAUAAACAUACUUUUAUAAAGUACCCUCA